UGGCUAACUCCUACGGGAGGCAGCAGUGGGGAAUAUUGGACAAUGGGCGAAAGCCUGAUCCAGCAAUGCCGCGUGAGUGAUGAAGGCCUUAGGGUUGUAAAGCUCUUUUACCAGGGAUGAUAAUGACAGUACCUGGAGAAUAAGCUCCGGCUAACUCCGUGCCAGCAGCCGCGGUAAUACGGAGGGAGCUAGCGUUGUUCGGAUUUACUGGGCGUAAAGCGCACGUAGGCGGCGACUCAAGUCAGAGGUGAAAGCCCGGGGCUCAACCCCGGAACUGCCUUUGAAACUAGGUUGCUAGAAUCCUGGAGAGGUUAGUGGAAUUCCGAGUGUAGAGGUGAAAUUCGUAGAUAUUCGGAAGAACACCAGUGGCGAAGGCGACUAACUGGACAGGCAUUGACGCUGAGGUGCGAAAGCGUGGGGAGCAAACAGGAUUAGAUACCCCUGUAGUCCAGCUGG
rnacentral:rRNA from 1 species